rnacentral:lncRNA from 1 species
AGAUGAGGGUGGUUGAUCUCAUACCACUUAUGUAGUGACACUAAUACAAGGAUAUGGGUGCUUAUUAGAGAAUGAGUUCAUUGAAUAGAUUUAUGAGAGAACAUCUGAUGGAGUCUUAUUUACAUGUCAGCUGAUAAUUCUCUAGUAGGAGUUGUGUAAGUGAUCCUUUGAUCUGAGAUCGUCAUGGUACCUUGUGUACAUGAAUCUAUAUUUUGGUUCACUUCCUAACUUGAUUCUUUGAUCCUUGUAUGGGAUGUUCUGGAUGUGGUGAAGUAUGCAUGGAGGUUGUGAGUGAUCAAUAAGGGAUCAAUCACUCCUAAUAAGGGGAGCGAACAUCCUAUAUGAUCUAAUAGAUCGAUGAUUCUGAAAGUCUUUAGCCAA